rnacentral:rRNA from 1 species
GCGCAGGCGGAUUAGAAAGUCUGGUGUUAAAAGCAAUUGCUUAACGAUUGUAUGCAUUGGAAACUUCUAGUCUAGAGUUUGGUAGAGAGUCCUGGAACUCCAUGUGGAGCGGUGAAAUGCGUAGAUAUAUGGAAGAACACCAGAGGCGAAGGCGAGGACUUGGGCCAAUACUGACGCUUAGGCUUGAAAGUGUGGGGAGCAAAUAGGAUUAGAUACCCUAGUAGUCCACACUGUAAACGAUGGAUGUUAAGUGUCGGAGCGAAUACUUCGGUGCUGCAGUUAACACAUUAAACAUCCUGCCUGAGUAGUACAUUCGCAAGAAUGAAACUCAAACGGAAUUGACGGGGACCCGCACAAGUGGUGGAGCAUGUUGCUUAAUUCGACGGUACACGAAAAACCUUACCUAGACUUGACAUCUUGGGCGAAGCUAUAGAAAUAUAGUGGAGGUYAACCCAAUGACAGGUGGUGCAUGGUUGUCGUCAGCUCGUGUCGUGAGAUGUUGGGUUAAGUCCCGCAACGAGCGCAACCCUUAUCGUUAGUUACUUUGUCUAACGAGACUGCCAACGUAAGUUGGAGGAAGGUGGGGAUGACGUCAAAUCAUCAUGCCCCUUAUGUCUAGGGCUGCAAACGUGCUACAAUGGCCAAUACAAACAGUUGCAAAUCCGUAAGGUGGAGCUAAUCUGUAAAGUUGGUCUCAGUUCGGAUUGAGGGCUGCAAUUCGCCCUCAUGAAGUCGGAAUCACUAGUAAUCGCGAAUCAGCCAUGUCGCGGUGAAUACGUUCUCGGGUCUUGUACACACCGCCCGUCAAACUAUGAGAGCUGGUAAUAUCUAAAAC